rnacentral:rRNA from 1 species
GACGAACGCUGGCGGCGCGCUUAACACAUGCAAGUCGAGCGAGAACCAGGGCUUCGGCCCUGGGGAAAGCGGCGAACGGGUGAGUAACACGUGAGUAACCUGUCCUCGGCACCGGGAUAGCCCGGGGAAACCCGGAUUAAUACCGGAUGGCCUUUCGAGUCUUCGGGCUCGUCAGAAAAGGGAGCUUCGGCCUCCGGCCGAGGAGGGACUCGCGGCGGAUUAGCUUGUUGGUGGGGUAACGGCUCACCAAGGCGACGAUCCGUAGCUGGUCUGAGAGGACGAUCAGCCACACUGGGACUGAGACACGGCCCAGACUCCUACGGGAGGCAGCAGUGGGGAAUCUUGCGCAAUGGGCGAAAGCCUGACGCAGCGACGCCGCGUGCGGGAAGAAGGCCUCGGUUGUAACG